rnacentral:rRNA from 1 species
AACGAACGCUGGCGGCAUGCCUAACACAUGCAAGUCGAACGAAGGGGCGCACGGGUGCGUAACGCGAGGGAAGAUGCCAUAGGGUCGGAAUAACAGCUGGAAACGGCUGCUAAUACCGGAUGCCUGAGGAUGAGCCCGCGUUGGAUUAGGUAGUUGGGGGGGUAAAGGCCUACCAAGCCGACGAUCAAUAGCUGGUCUGAGAGGAUGAUCAGCCACACUGGGACUGAGACACGGACCAGACUCCUACGGGAGGGAGCAGUGGGGGAUAUUGGAAAAUGGGCGAGAGCCUGAUCCAGCAAUGCCGCGUGAGUUAUGAAGGCCCUAGGGUUGUAAAGCUCUUUUACCCUGGAAUCUGUACCUGGAGAAUAAGCCCCGGCUAACUCCGUGCCAGCAGCCGCGGUAAUUC